GAGCGUCUUCAGGGCAGGGUGAAAUUCCCGACCGGCGGUAACAACUUCACGAGAGGCAGAAGUCCGCGAACCCUACGGGGUUGAUGUGGUGAAAAUCCACAACCGACAGUAUAGUCUGGAAGGGAGGAGACAAGU
rnacentral:ncRNA from 2 species